rnacentral:rRNA from 1 species
GACGAACGCUGGCGGCGUGCUUAACACAUGCAAGUCGAACGGAAAGGCCUGCUUUCCCUUGUGGAUUGCGGGUACUCGAGUGGCGAACGGGUGAGUAACACGUGAGUGAUCUGCCCCCAACUUGGGUAUAAGCCUGGGAAACUGGGUCUAAUUCCCGAUAGGACUGCAGGGUGGUGCCUGUGGUGGAAAACGAUUUUCUAGUGGUUGGGGAUGAGCUCGCGGCCUAUCAGCUUGUUGGUGGGGUAAUGGCCUACCAAGGCGGCGACGGGUAGCCGGCCUGAGAGGGUGGACGGACACAUUGGGACUGAGAUACGGCCCAGACUCCUACGGGAGGCAGCAGUGGGGAAUAAUGCACAAUGGGCGGAAGCCUGAUGCAGCGACGCAGCGUGGAGGAUGACGGCCUUCGGGUUGUAAACUCCUUUCGACCGCGAGGAAGCCACCUGGUUGGAAGGGUGGUGACGGUAGUGGUAGAAGAAGCACCGGCUAACUACGUG